CAGCAGCCGCGGUAAUACGUAGGUGGCAAGCGUUGUCCGGAUUUACUGGGCGUAAAGAGCGUGUAGGCGGCCAAACAGGUCCGUUGUGAAAACUGGAGGCUCAACUUCCAGACGUCGACGGAAACCGUGUGGCUAGAGUCCGGAAGAGGAGAGUGGAAUUCCUGGUGUAGCGGUGAAAUGCGCAGAUAUCAGGAAGAACGCCAAUGGCGAAGGCAGCUCUCUGGGACGGUACUGACGCUGAGACGCGAAAGCGUGGGGAGCGAACAGGAUUAGAUACCCUGGUAGUCCACGCUGUAAACGACGGGUGCUAGGUGUGGGCGGUGUCGACUCCGUCCGUGCCGCAGCUAACGCAUUAAGCACCCCGCCUGGGGAGUACGGCCGCAAGGCUAAAACUCAAAGGAAUUGACGG
rnacentral:rRNA from 1 species